GGGUUGUGAGGUUAAGCGACUAAGCGUACACGGUGGAUGCCCUGGCAGUCAGAGGCGAUGAAGGACGUGCUAAUCUGCGAUAAGCGUCGGUAAGGUGAUAUGAACCGUUAUAACCGGCGAUUUCCGAAUGGGGAAACCCAGUGUGUUUCGGCACACUAUCAUUAACUGAAUCCAUAGGUUAAUGAGGCGAACCGGGGGAACUGAAACAUCUAAGUACCCCGAGGAAAAGAAAUCAACCGAGAUUCCCCCAGUAGCGGCGAGCGAACGGGGAGGAGCCCAGAGCCUGAAUCAGUGUGUGUGUUAGUGGAAGCGUCUGGAAAGGCGUGCGAUACAGGGUGACAGCCCCGUACACAAAAAUGCACAUAUUGUGAGCUCGAUGAGUAGGGCGGGACACGUGGUAUCCUGUCUGAAUAUGGGGGGACCAUCCUCCAAGGCUAAAUACUCCUGACUGACCGAUAGUGAACCAGUACCGUGAGGGAAAGGCGAAAAGAACCCCGGCGAGGGGAGUGAAAAAGAACCUGAAACCGUGUACGUACAAGCAGGGGGAGACG
rnacentral:rRNA from 1 species